CGGUGCUAUGCAGUCGGAGAUUUUGCACUGAGAAGUUUGAAAACAGCUGCCUUCUGCUGCUAGAAACAGGGUUGAUGGGUUUGUGGACAGGCAUUGGGGCAGAAGCAAGACAUCACAGACUGAAAAAUCAACAUGACAGGUAUUGUGAAAGUCAACGUCCUGCAGCUCUCUGCCUUUAUACUCCGUUAUUUUUAACCAGCUGGGCUUACGCAAAACAAAUUCCGGUUCUGUCUACGAGCCAAGUGGAAAUGGACACUGUUUCCUGAGGAAAAACUAGACACUCGCUUCCUCUACUUGUGCUCUGCAGCCACCUUCAGCUGAGGAUACAGACACGGAGCAGGAAAACGAUCACAUUUCUAUAAUAUUAUUUUAGAAAAAUGUUGUAGGUGUAUACUUUUGUUUAUAAUGAAUCUAUUGUACUACUGCACCUUUUACUGUGCAAAAAAAAUA